GACGAACGCUGGCGGCGUGCCUAACACAUGCAAGUCGAACGGGGCUCUUUGGAUCGAGACUUCGGUCAAGUGAAUCUGAGUUUAGUGGCGAACGGGUGAGUAACGCGUGAGUAACCUGCCCUGGAGUGGGGGACAACAGUUAGAAAUGACUACUAAUACCGCAUAAGCGCACAGUAUCGCAUGAUACAGUGUGAAAAGCCGAGACGGUAUGAGAUGGACCCGCGUCUGAUUAGGUAGUUGGUGAGGUAACGGCCCACCAAGCCGACGAUCAGUAGCCGACCUGAGAGGGUGACCGGCCACAUUGGGACUGAGACACGGCCCAA
rnacentral:rRNA from 1 species